rnacentral:rRNA from 1 species
CANUGGGGAAUUUUGCGCAANGGGNGAAAGCCNGANGCAGCAACGCCGCGUGAGUGAUGAAGGCCUUCGGGUNGUAAAGCUCUGUCAGAGGGGAAGAACCGCCGGGUGGGUAAUACCUGCCUGGUGUGACGGUACCCUCAAAGGAAGCCCCGGNUAAAUCCGUGCCAGCAGCCGCGGUAAUACGGAGGGGGCNAGCGUUUUUUGGAAUUAUUGGGGGUAAAGGGCGUGUAGGCGGUUUGUUAAGUCUGGUGUGAAAACCCCGGGCUCAACCUGGGAAGUGCAUUUGAUACUGGCAAACUUGAGUACGGGAGAGGGUAGUGGAAUUUCGAGUGUAGGGGUGAAAUCCGUAGAUAUUCGAAGGAACACCGGUGGGGAAGGGGGGCAUCUGGGCCGAUACUGACGCUGAGACGCGAAAGCGUGGGNNGCCAACAGGAUUAGAUACCCUGGUAGUUCACGCCCUAAACGAUGGGCACUAUGUGUCGC